CAUGCAAUUAUAAAAAUAUUUUAUUAAGUUAAUACAAUAAAAUCGAAGAGAAAAGAAAAAAGAUAAAUUGAUUAUCAAGAAUUAUUACGUCUAUUUGACACUAGAGCCCUUUUGAAGGUUGACAAUGAACCCAUAUUUUUUAUAUUAGGUAAUAAAUCAUUCCAAGCUACAGCUCCUCUGUACGAGAAUGAUUUUUUACAAAAGUUGGUACUUGGCCUCGGGAGUGCAAAGUUAAAUUCAGCCUGCCUAGUUUGAUGAUUAUGAAGUGUACUGGUUUUCGUGAAUAAAUCAAUUAGGUAAUCAGGCACCAUAUUAUUAUUUACCUGAUACAUAGUAGUACAUAAUUGAUUAUUUCUUCUGAGACUUAAAUGAGGUAAAUCUAAUUCUUUAAGUAUAUCGACUGAUCUAAAUUCAUACCCACGCUUUGUAAUGAUACGUGCUGCUCUAUUUUGUAAACGUUGCAACUGGUUUUGAAGGGUAAUUCCAAGACAACCCCGUACUUGCGAGCAGUAAUCAAAGUGUGGUUGAAUUAAAGUUUUGUAAACUGUUACUAGAGUCCUUACAUCAACAAAAUCUCUUAAUCGUCUAAGGACGUAAAGACCCUUGUUCACUUUCUUUGUAAUUAGAUCUGUUUGAGAAUGCCAGUUUAAGGUCUCAUCUACCAUCAUACCCAGUGAUUUAGUAACGGUUACUCGUUGAAUAGGCGUAUCUCCAAUUUUUAUUUGCAAUUCGGAGUUACACUGUUUAAGUUUUUGAUGUGAUCCAAUAAACAUAAUUAUAUUCAGUUUUGCUUUUGUUCAGGCUCAGCUUGUUGGCCGCCAUCCAAACUGAAAUAUUUGCUAGGUCAUCAUUUAACGUUUCAAAAAUUACUUUGACAUCCUUAUUUGCCGUUCCUAAUUGAGUAUCAUCAGCAAACAUGUCACAAUCCGCACUUUUUAAGCAAUUUGGCAAGUCAUUUAUGUAAACAAGAAAGAGUAAGGGUCCAAGAAUUGAGCCCUGCGGAAUACCAGUAAUUAUUGUUCGUGGUUCAGACAGUUUGCCAUUAACUUGACAAUACUGGGUACGAUUAGACAGAUAGGA